ensembl:lncRNA
GGGUGAGUUCAUGAACAACUGGAAACCCGGGAAAAGCAGGAGAUGACGGAGUUGUCUGUCACCUCACCGUCACAGUCUGUCAAGGAACUCUUAUAAAAAAAGGUUAUGUGGAAAUCAUGUUUUACCAUGCUGACAGAGGCGGUGUGAGACUUUGGGAAGGCGGUUGCCUUUGAGUUUUAUAUGCAGGAGAAACCCUGAGACAGUGAUUACAUCACUAGCGUCUUCUUUGUCAAUCUGCGUAGAGUGCGCAGUGUAAACUGUGCUAAAUCUCUGUGUACAGAGAAUGAGCGUGUAAUUCAAAACAGAGAGUCAGUCACUCCAGAUUCCAGCAGCACACAUUCUGGUCUUCAUGUGGAGGGCGAACUAGUGCGCUACAAUUGUCCCAGUUCUCUGCAUGUUUGCAGGGCACGGUGGUCAGAAUGGGAAUACUGCGUCCUCGGCGAAUCGGUUUUACUUUGAGGUAAAGUUUGAGGGAUCAUGGAUUGUGGGAGUGGCCAGAGAGUCCAUCGACAAAAUGAAGAAGAUAAAGUAUGGACAUGAUGCUUGGACUCAUUGGAUUCAUGUUGGCACCCUUGUCCCCUUGGGCAAUCAUCAGAAGAGUCACAUGGUGCUGGAGAGAUUGGGGGUUUAUGAGAAUUAUCUGGAUAAACGGGUGUCGUUUUACAACGUUGGCCCAGAUGUUAGACCCUGUCAUAUCUACUCUUACGCAGUGUGUGAUUUCUCAGGAAGACUCUUCAUCAGAGCAUGGAACUCUGGGAAUAAGGUCCUGUAGGUGAAACAUCUCAUCUUCUGUAAAGGUUCAGAUGGGGCUUUGCGUUUCAGCAGACAAUGAAAAGGAAGGGUGCAAAAAAGGCUUACCAAGAAAAACUGCUGAACUGACUAAUGUGUGGAGCGACCUCCCCUCAGAGUCUGGUUGUUCUUCAGGUUUCUUCCUGAUCUCAGAUCCUACAAGGGAGUUCUUCCUAGCCACUGGGCGUUCACUGUGGUGGGCUUGCUUUUUGGGGUUUCAGGCUAGGUGUCUGCAAAAGCACCUUAUGACCAAAUGCUGAUAUAAAAAGGGCUUUAUAAAAUAAACUUAAUUGAUUGGGGCAAUGAAUAGUUGGAACAUAGUUUAUCAUAGAGCAUGUCUGUAUCAGCCAGUAGGUUUGUACAAUUUGAAGUCACGCAGAUCGAGCCCUGUGUACAUACAGGUCUUCAUUUGUACAGAACUCGCCAUCUACUCUAUUCGAGAGCCUAGUCAAGAGUAUUUGUUAGUUGUUUGUUCCAGUGUUUGUUUACAUACCUUCCUCUGUGUUCCUGCUUGUUUGUCCUACUGUGUUCCAUCCGCUUACCUAUUGCCAGCUGGAGGAUAAGUAAGAUACCCAGGGGUAUACUUCGCCCUUACAUGACCCAGUUAUAUACACUAGAUUAGAUGCCUGUAUUUCUGUAGUGGUCAGGCAGUUUGCUAGGUAUUAGUUUGUAGGCAGGGAUAGAGGUGUACAGACCCCCUGUUCGCCCAGCCUUUCUCCCAACUUUCCUUGUUUAGUGGUUGUUUUAUAUCUGUUUAACAUUUGUACAUUUGUAUUAGUUUGUUUUAUUAUGUCAUGGUGUCUUUUGUAAAUGUCCCAGUAAGGGUUAACUGUCAGUUUGUUCUCUUGUCUGGUCUCUAUUGUUAUGUAUAUUCUGUAUUUUCUGUUAUUAUUUUUGCUUUAUGUAUUUCUUAAUUACUGUGUCAUGUCACAAGAAUGUCAUUGUUCAGAAUGAGGCAUGAUAUUCAGUGCACCUGACAAACAAGACUUUUAGACCUUGUAGUUAACUGCCCCCACACUCUACUGCCCAUCUAUUUUUGCACCAAGGUGUGUGCACGCAUGGGUAGUUACAGCUGCACCUCCUAACAAGCUACACCUCCUAACGAGCUACACCUGGGAGGGGGAGCAGAACACCUUUUUAUGAAAUGUCAUAUAUAUUGCUGUUUUUAUUAUAAUAAGCAAAAGUCCGCUAGGAAUUGUUAGCUUCUCUUUAACUUGUUGAGUAAUCCGCUCCAGUGUGGUUAGCAUUAUAUGCACACACACAACCCAAAUAAAUGGCUUUAGGGUAACUUUCAGGUGCCUAAGAAUAUUGCACGGUACAGUACUUCUGAGCUCUGUAACAAUACCAUUGAAACACUUCUUACCAACAUUUCACAGAAAACAUUUUAAUAUUAAUCAGUGCCGUGUACAGAUUUACACUGGUAUAUAAUAGAGUAGUAAUAAUAUCAUACUUCAUUAUAUAACAACAUUCAAAUAACCACUGUUGCAAUGAACGUCACAAGGCAAUGCACAAUAAUGAGACAAUCAAGAUGGGUAAAAUGCACGCCCCCUGGCAGAUAUGCACAGCAGCACGCACGCACAUGCACGUUCACACACACAUGCGCGCACCCACACACACACACACACACCCACACACACGUUGAAAAGUCUUUAAAGAACAAUGCUCUGUCGAUGGACCGGGGGCACCUGUCAAACAACCCCGUUCCAUAUGGGGUGCACAAAAAAACGCAGAGGCUCCUCGAUCAAAGUAGUCGCCCACGGUUGUGAUUAGGGCACCCCUCUUCUAAAUACAGCCUCCGCUGUUCUCACACUGAACAACCUGGAGUGGGGUCGCCCUGCACGCGGUCGCAGAUGCGCUGGAGUUCUGGGCAGCUUUGUUUCUUGUUACCAAGGAAAUGGCCUGACAACGGCCGUGUCCCCGAGUAGAAGCAGCGUAUUGGUUUUAUCAGGGGUUCU